rnacentral:rRNA from 1 species
GGAGCAUGCGGCUUAAUUCGACGCAACGCGAAGAACCUUACCAAGGCUUGACAUAUACAGGAAUAUGGCAGAGAUGUCAUAGCCGCAAGGUCUGUAUACAGGUGGUGCAUGGUUGUCGUCAGCUCGUGUCGUGAGAUGUUGGGUUAAGUCCCGCAACGAGCGCAACCCUCGUUCUGUGUUGCCAGCAUUUAGUUGGGGACUCACAGGAGACUGCCGGGGUUAACUCGGAGGAAGGUGGGGAUGACGUCAAAUCAUCAUGCCCCUUAUGUCUUGGGCUCACGCAUGCUACAAUGGCUGGUACAAACGGCUGCAAUACCGCAAGGUGGAGCGAAUCCGAGAAAGCCAGUCUCAGUUCGGAUUGGGGUCUGCAACUCGACCCCAUGAAGUCGGAGUUGCUAGUAAUCGUAGAUCAGCAACGCUACGGUGAAUACGUUCCCGGGGCUUGUACACACCGCCCGUCACGUCACGAAAGU